CAGGCUCUGCAAAAAUUAGCAAGUCAGUACCUAAAGAAAGACUGGCCUGGAAUCAGCCCUGAUGACCAGAGAACAGACUACAGGAAUGUGUACGCAGUGUGGAGGGCCUACUUAGAGGGUACAGUUCAGGUGAGCCAGUCGAGGCUUAAUGUAUGUGACAACUACAAGAGCCAAGUAUCAGAGCCAGCGAAGACCAUUAGACUCUACAAGGAACAGCAGCUCAAAAAGACCAUUGAUCAGUUGAGCGGCAUUCAAGCAGAGCUGCAGGAGUCAGCGAAAGAGUUGGCAAAAGCCAAGAAGAAAUACUACGACUGUGAGCAGGUUGCUCACGCUGUACGAGA